rnacentral:rRNA from 1 species
AUCCAGACUCCUACGGGAGGCAGCAGUGGGGGAUAUUGCACAAUGGGGGAAACCCUGAUGCAGCAACGCCGCGUGAGUGAAGAAGGUCUUCGGAUUGUAAAGCUCUGUUCUUGGUGAAGAUAAUGACGGUAGCCAAGGAGAAAGCUCCGGCUAACUACGUGCCAGCAGCCGCGGUAAUACGUAGGGAGCGAGCGUUAUCCGGAUUUAUUGGGUUUAAAGGGUGCGCAGGCGGAGGUGCAAGUCAGCGGUCAAAUUGCGGGGCUCAACCCCGUACUGCCGUUGAAACUGCAUCCCUUGAGUGCGCGAGAAGUAUGCGGAAUGCGUGGUGUAGCGGUGAAAUGCAUAGAUAUCACGCAGAACUCCGAUUGCGAAGGCAGCAUACCGGCGCGCAACUGACGCUCAUGCACGAAAGCGUGGGUAUCGAACAGGAUUAGAUACCCCGGUAU